GAUGAACGCUAGCUACAGGCUUAACACAUGCAAGUCGAGGGGUAACGAGAGGAAAGCUUGCUUUCCUUGUCGACGACCGGCGCACGGGUGAGUAACGCGUAUCCAACCUGCCCCCAACUAGGGAAUAACCUUGCGAAAGUAAGACUAAUACCUUAUAAUUUCCUCAGAUGUCAUCUGACGAUGAAUAAAGAUUUAUUGGUUGUGGCUGGGGAUGGGUCUGAUUAGCUGGUGGGCGGGGUAAAGGCCCACCAAGGAAACGAUCAGUAGGGGUUCUGGGAGGAAGGUCCCCCACAUUGGAACUGAGACACGGUCCAAACUCCGACGGGAGGCAGCAGUGAGGAAUAUUGGUCAAUGGGCGGAAGCCUGAACCAGCCAAGUAGCGUGCAGGAUGACGGCCCUAUGGGUUGUAAACUGCUUUUAUACAGGAAUAAAGUUAGCCACGUGUGGUUAUUUGUAGGUACUGUAUGAAUAAGGACCGGCUAAUUCCGUGCCAGCAGCCGCGGUAA
rnacentral:rRNA from 1 species